CGAUGAUCAUUGAAAUAAUAUAAGUUUAAUUGCUUUUCAAAUACAAAAGUAAGUCGUUAGGAAGUGAUUGAAAUAUGGAAACAGUAUUUCCGACUUGGUAUUGAACGAAAAUCUGUUGUAGAGAGACAAAUGACGAGAAAGAUGCCAUGGAGCCGCAAAAUGCUUCGUUCAUACGAAGGAACGAGGAACUGGCAUAGUAAAUAAAAUUGUCCAGAUGCGAAAUUGUACCCGUGUAAUCGACCCGGUCCGAACUCUUUCCAGUAAGAUUUCAGACUUCUUUGCAGAUCUAAA